rnacentral:rRNA from 1 species
UACGGAAGGUGCAAGCGUUGUUCGGAAUGACUGGGCGUAAAGCGCGUGUAGGCUGUUCGGAAAGUCGGAUGUGAAAGCCCUGGGCUUAACCCAGGAAGUGCAUUCGAAACUCCCGAACUCGAGUCCUGGAGAGGAAGGCGGAAUUCUCGGUGUAGAGGUGAAAUUCGUAGAUAUCGAGAGGAACAUCGGUGGCGAAGGCGGCCUUCUGGACAGUGACUGACGCUGAGACGCGAAAGCGUGGGGAGCAAACAGG